GUAAGGGAAGUCGGCAAAACGGAUCCGUAACCUUGGGAUAAGGAUUGGCUCUGAGGACUGAGCCGGUCGGGCUGGGGACCUGAAGCAGGAACGGCACUGCACCGGGAGUGCGCGGGGCUCGCCGUUCACGCGGCGCGGCCAAGCCCGGACCAGCGUCGGGACCUUCCUGUGAAAAAACCUCAGCUGCGCGGCGUCUGAGGGCUUCGUGCCCAAAGUGCUAUGCUUCGGCCGGCAAAAAACAGUCAACUCAGAACUGGCACGGACCGGGGGAAUCCGACUGUCUAAUUAAAACAAAGCAUUGCGAUGGCCGCUGGUCGGUGUUGACGCAAUGUGAUUUCUGCCCAGUGCUCUGAAUGUCAACGUGAAGAGAUUCAUCAAAGCGCGGGUAAACGGCGGGAGUAACUAUGACUCUCUUGUCUCUCUUUGGCGGGAGUAACUAUGACUCUCUUGUUUCCUAU
rnacentral:rRNA from 1 species